AUUGAACGCUGGCGGCAGGCCUAACACAUGCAAGUCGAACGAGUGGCGGACGGGUGAGUAAUGUCUGGGAAACUGCCUGAUGGAGGGGGAUAACUACUGGAAACGGUAGCUAAUACCGCAUACUAUUGGAUGGGCCCAGAUGGGAUUAGUUAGUAGGUGGGGUAACGGCUCACCUAGGCGACGAGCCCUAGCUGGUCUGAGAGGAUGACCAGCCAAACUGGAACUGAGACACGGUCCAGAAUCCUACGGGAGGCAGCAGUGGGGAAUAUUGCACAAUGGGCGCAAGCCUGAUGCAGCCAUGCCGCGUGUAUGAAGAAGGCCUUCGGGUUGUAAAGUACUUUCAGCGGGGAGGCGUUACCCGCAGAAGAAGCACCGGCUAACUCCGUGCCAGCAGCCGCGGUAAUUC
rnacentral:rRNA from 1 species